UCUAAUGAUUUUAAUGUGCUACUAGAAGAUUUAAAAUUGCCUGUGUCUCCAAUUAUAUUUCUAUAGGACAGUGCUGCUCUGGCGACUCACACAAACAGAAGGAUCAUCGAACAUCAGCGUAUUCUAAGCGACACAUGCUCAUGCACCCCAAGGGAACCACCCCAGCACAGAGAUGCUUCCAACAGAUGCUUCCCUCUCAAAGUUGCUCUCUUCUCAAAUAUCUUUGCUCUUCCAAAUACACAGUGAGGGCUUCUGAUGGAUGUGAACCUCUCCUGACCUCAUCCCUUGAUCGUUUGAUGACAUCCACUGCCUCUCCCCUAGGGAAGGAAGCCUGGACCUGUUUCGAUGAACCAGGCAGCUGCUAUCAAAGCUGCACCUGAAUCCAUGAUGAGCAGGCAGAGCAAUAGGAAAUGUCAUUAAAUGCUAAUAUUAAACAUGGAUGGUAAAAACCAAGAGACGAUUAUAAAGCCUCUUUACCAGAUUCACUGUGGAUUGGUCCCCUCUGGCAUUUUGUUCAGAGGCUCCUUGAAGCCAGUGCCACAAAUCCUAAACAUCUUUUUAGAAGACAGCCCUGUCCCCCCACCUGAGGGGAAUUGUGCAAGUCAGCAAAACACAGAACAUAAAGCUUCCUCUCUCAGCCUGACAGACCAAACAUACCCUGAUGAACCGCACAUCAAUUCUCCAGGCUGUCAUCCACUAACCAGUAAGCAAUUUCUCUGCGUUCCUUCAUCAAGAAGUGCACAUUUCUGCAUUUCAUCUCUUCAAAGGAUGGCUAUUAUUCAACAAAAGAUGAUCCACCAAUUAUUUUUGGUUUAUUUUCGGAAACUGCGAGCUGGUUUAAUUUACAACAAAGGAAGAGUUAUAACUAUGGGAUGGGAGCAGUGAAUUUCUCAAAAUGCUGCCUCUGCUAACUGACAACCUCCCCACGUGCAUUUGCCCUCCAGGUUUCUCUAGAGCUGUGUUUCUAAGCAGAUUAAGCAAAAGAUCGACCUGCUCUCCAAACUGCCUGCAGAGAGAAAGACCUCACCCUCUCAGGAGCUCUGCUGAACUGCACCUGACUUGGUUUUGCCACUUGUUACUUUUCACUACACCUCCUCCUUCCUUCUGAUCAGCUUUGUGAUUUGGGCUCUGAUCCCAGCAAUAAAGAUGCUCUGGAUCGGCGCCCCCAGUUCCCUGUGCCCCUGCUGCCUCUCACACACGCUUCCUGGCAACCCCUGGUGCUUGGUCAACUACCUUUCUGCUCUAGCCUCUUCCAAUCCAGAGUUUAU
rnacentral:lncRNA from 9 species